rnacentral:misc_RNA from 1 species
UACGAGUGCCUCAAGCGUUAUCCGGAAUCAUUGGGCGUAAAGGAUGUGUAGGUGGUCAUGUUAGUCUCUCGUUAAAUUCUUCGGCUUAACCGGGGGCAUGCGAGGGAAACGGCAUGACUAGAGGAUGCAAGGGGUCUGCGGAACUCAUAGUGUAGCGGUGAAAUGCGUUGAUAUUAUGGGGAACACCAAAAGCGAAGGCAGCAGACUAGGGCACUCCUGACACUGAGACAUGAAAGCGUGGGUAGCGAAUGGG